GGCCCUGCUAAGGUAUGCCACUAAGUAAACAUGCCAUGUGCAUGUACUUUGCAGAUGUGGACUGGAGUGCUCUGCAGGUGUGGACUGGGGUGCUCUGCAGGUGUGGACUGGGGUGCUCUGCAGGUGUGAACUGUGGUGCUCUGCAGGGGUGAACUGGGGUGCUCUGCAGGGGUGGACUGAAGUGAUUCUGCAGGUGUGGACUGGGUUGCUCUGCAGGUGUGGACUAGGGUGCUCUUCAGGUGUGAACUGGGGUGCUCUGCAGGUGUGGACUGGGGUGCUCUGCAGGUGUGGACUGGGGUGCUUUGCAG
rnacentral:lncRNA from 1 species